AAAAAGGUAAGCUAAAUAAAGCUUAUAGGUUCAUACCCUGUCUAUGAAUAAUUUCCCUUUUUA
rnacentral:tRNA from 1 species